rnacentral:ncRNA from 1 species
UCCAUCGCGAGGUGGAAUCCGAAGGAAGCCGGAGGCAAAACCACGGCUCGAUGAACAAGAACCCCAUACGGGGGUAGACCGAGACGCCCAGCAUAUUCAAAGAACUUGACGGCUGGAUACGCCGGCGGCUGUGCAUGUGUCUAUG